CCUACGGGUGGCAGCAGUGGGGAAUAUUGGACAAUGGGCGAAAGCCUGAUCCAGCCAUGCCGCGUGUGUGAAGAAGGCCUUCGGGUUGUAAAGCACUUUCAGUGGGGAAGAAAGCCUUGGGGCUAAUACCCUCGAGGAAGGACAUCACCCACAGAAGAAGCACCGGCUAACUCCGUGCCAGCAGCCGCGGUAAUACGGAGGGUGCGAGCGUUAAUCGGAAUUACUGGGCGUAAAGCGCGCGUAGGCGGUCUGAUAAGCCGGUUGUGAAAGCCCCGGGCUCAACCUGGGAACGGCAUCCGGAACGGGCAGGCUAGAGUGCAGGAGAGGAAGGUAGAAUUCCCGGUGUAGCGGUGAAAUGCGUAGAGAUCGGGAGGAAUACCAGUGGCGAAGGCGGCCUUCUGGACUGACACUGACGCUGAGGUGCGAAAGCGUGGGUAGCAAACAGGAUUAGAUACCCGAGUAGUC
rnacentral:rRNA from 1 species